AGGUUAAGCUAAUAAGGGCGCACGGUGGAUGCCUAGGCGCCAGGAGCCGACGAAGGACGCGACGAACAGCGAUAUGCUUCGGGGAGCCGUAAGUGGGCUUUGAUCCGGAGAUUUCCGAAUGGG
rnacentral:rRNA from 1 species